rnacentral:rRNA from 1 species
AACGCGAAGAACCUUACCUGGGUUGAACUACGCAGGAAAAGCCGUAGAGAUACGGUGUCCGCAAGGGCCUGCGAUAGGUGGUGCAUGGCUGUCGUCAGCUCGUGUCGUGAGAUGUUGGGUUAAGUCCCGCAACGAGCGCAACCCUUGUCCUAUGUUGCCAGCGGGUAAUGCCGGGGACUCGUAGGAGACUGCCGGGGUCAACUCGGAGGAAGGUGGGGAUGACGUCAAGUCAUCAUGCCCCUUACGCCCAGGGCUGCACACAUGCUACAAUGGCCGGUACAAAGGGCUGCUAUCCCGCGAGGGUGAGCGAAUCCCAAAAAGCCGGUCUCAGUUCGGAUUGCAGUCUGCAACUCGACUGCAUGAAGUCGGAGUCGCUAGUAAUCCCGGAUCAGCAACGCCGGGGUGAAUACGUUCCCGGGCCUUGUA